rnacentral:rRNA from 1 species
AGUGAACGCUGGCGGCAGGCCUAACACAUGCAAGUCGAGCGGCAGCGCGGUGGCAACCCUUGCGGCGAGCGGCGGACGGGUGAGGAAUUCGUCGGAAUCUGCCUUUUUGUGGGUGAUAACGUAGGGAAACUUACGCUAAUACCUCAUACGUCCUACGGGAGAAAGUGGGGGACCGCAAGGCUUCACGCAGAAAGAUGAGCCGACGACCGAUUAGCUAGUUGGUGGGGUAAAGGCCCACCAAGGCGACGAUCGGUAGGUGGUGUGAGAGGAUGAUCAGCCACACUGGGACUGAAACACGGCCAAGGCUACUACGGGAGGGAGCAGUGGGGAAUAUUGGGCAGUGGGGGCAAGCAUGACACAGCCAGGCCGAGUGUGUGACGACGGCGUUCGGGUUGUAAAGCACUUUUGUCCGGAAAGAACCCCCUGGAGCUAAUACCUUCGGGGGAUGACGGUACCGGAAGAAGAAGCACCGGCUAACUUCGUG